rnacentral:rRNA from 1 species
UACGUAGGGUGCGAGCGUUGUCCGGAAUUAUUGGGCGUAAAGGGCUCGUAGGCGGUUUGUCGCGUCGGGAGUGAAAACCCAGGGCUUAACCCUGGGCUGGCUUCCGAUACGGGCAGACUAGAGGUAUGCAGGGGAGAGCGGAAUUCCUGGUGUAGCGGUGAAAUGCGCAGAUAUCAGGAGGAACACCGGUGGCGAAGGCAGCUCGCUGGGACGGUACUGACGCUGAGGCGCGAAAGCGUGGGGAGCAAACAGG